UAGCUCAGAUGAAGCUUGACUAGGAACAGUGUCCAUCCACCCAUGGAUCCUGCACACAGUCAGAUAAUCAAUGCAAAACUCAGCCUGGUCCUGAGGGGUGGAGAGUCAAAGUCACCAGGAAACAGAGGGUUCUCAGCCAACGGUAUUGUGCUCACCUGUAUCAGGAAGUGGAGCUUCUGAGUUAUCAUUAAAGUGAAGAAAUGUCAUUAUUUGUUUGAACCUUCUUCUCGUCAUAAUCUUUGGAAAG